GGGCAAAAACUGUACCUUCGAUUUUCUCAAAACAGCAUUUUUCGAGAUAGCCGCCUUGUGCUUAAAAGCGACCAAUUUACAGUUUGGAAAUGUUUUGCCACAGUUUGUGGAAAAAAUCUGCUGUGUUGUCAUCAAUAAUGUUUCUACUAAAUGUUCUUUUUAUUCUGGGGGUUUUCUUUUUUUUUGUUUUUUGUUUUUUUAAAUAGUAAUAAUAGCGUACAAAUUGUUACUGAAAUACUUCGCUGCUUUUUGGGGUAGUUGGAGGGUGCCACUGGCAGGUCCUACUUCUCUUUCCCUAUGUUCCUUCGGUCUAUCAGUACUUCUUCCCUGCACGUAUGACCGUAUGACCGUAUGACCGUUGUGUCACUGUGCUUCUCUGUACGUACACAGAGUCGAGUGGAUGGUUGGCAGGUGCUCUGGUGUUGUCUGUUCCUUUGUCUUUGUCUCUCCAGGCAGAUGGUUGGAGGGCACCACUGAUAGGUCCUACUUCUUAACUUUCACUCGAUUGUUUCUGUCUGUAUGUCUUUCUUUUUUACUAGCACUAACUGACCAUUUUUGAAUCAAUAUACUUCUCUUUACUCAAACAAACAAACAAACAAACAAAUUGUCUCUCCCCCUUCUUUUCUUUGUAUGUUACUCUCUAGUCACCCUCUAACCACCGGUACUUAUGACUAUAUGAUUUGUGUUGCAAGUGCUGUAAAAACUCUUCUUUCCUAUCAAACACCUAUCGUCCUUAUCUCCCUUCCUUCUUUUUUUAUGUUUGUUAUUCUCUUGUAACACCUCUAAUCUUCUGGUGCACAUAUGGCCUUAUGCAGUUGCGAGCACGGUAAAACUUCUACCAAAACAAAAAACAACUCAACUCUAAAGACUCAACUCUAAACAAAUGUCCUUUUUGUCUCUAAACAAUGUCUUUUUUUGUGGGCUUGUUAGUUUGUGGAGUCUGCUUGUUUUGUGGCGGAGACCUUGGUGUGCUCUGACUGAAGGUUUCUCUUGUUAUGAUGAAGUGUGAUGCAAGAAAUGACAUAUUCAGGGCCUUUGUGAGUAUUUAACGAAAACACGUUUGGUUGUUGUGAAAUAACUGGAACAUU